AUGUUACUUUCUAUUUCUGGACAGAACAGAAAUCAUUUUUCUUUCUCUUUUAAGACAUUCGAUUCUCUUUUCACUUUCUUUUGCUAGAUCACCCAUCCUUAAAUAUUAUUUUUUAUUUUUUUAAGAAGCAUGUGCUCAUAACUUAUAAAACGGAAUUAAAAAACAUAACUUUCACGAUAAACUUAACAGUACUAACUUAGAAGUGCUUGUAGACAACAUAAGUUCAGUUCGAGGAAUAGCUCAACAUUGCUAACUUAGUCGUUCUCAUGC
rnacentral:lncRNA from 1 species